AACGCACAUUGCGCCCUUCGGUAUUCCGCUGGGCAUGCCUGUUCGAGCGUCAUUUGACCCUUCAAGCUCUGCUUGGUGUUGGGCGUUUGUUCCGCCUCCGCGCGUGGAUUCGCCUCAAAUUCAUUGGCAGCCGGCAAGUUGGCUUCGUGCGCAGCACAUUGCGUCACGGCUCCAGUCUGCCUCCGUCCAGUAAGGCUCCUCAUCACUUUGACCUCGGAUCAGGUAGGGAUACCCGCUGAACUUAA
rnacentral:misc_RNA from 1 species